ensembl:lncRNA
CAAAGAAGGCGGGGGUGGGGGUAGCAGCAGAAGGAGCUACUCCCCGGCCGCUGCACAGUGACCAGAGCAGCCCGCGAUCAGAGCUCUGAACCCGACUAGUUCCUGGCUUCCUCUUCGGUUCCCUCCUCCUUCUGCAGCGACAACCCCCAGGGUCUCUCCGUAGAGCCUUCGAGAGCCCACGGUGGCCCGGGGCGCCGCGCCCUGACCCGCGCUCUAGGGUCGUGGAGGACUGCGCCCCAUCUGGGAAGACUGCGGCGCUAAGCCUCAAGUACCCCAGGGACACUGAGAAAUCGAAAAACGCGAGUCAGAGCAACUCCCGCCCCCCAGGAGCUGGGAACAAAGACCCCUUUGUUCAGCUCUGUCCCUCUCCCGAGAGACCAGAGUCCCGUGGGUGUGGUGUCGUGGAGGGGAGGAGACAGGUCACUGCAGGUAACCCGCCUCCGCCUAGAACUUGGGAGGGGGAGGCACCCCACCGUGGUGUCCUAGGUAGCAAAGGCCGCCUGGGGCUCUGGAGGGAGGUGUCCCCCUUCAGGUGCACCUGCCAGCCCCAGCUCCAAGUCAGCUGAGUGCCUGCUACUCGGAUGAUGGGGUCUCUCCAGGUGUGAGGUUUGUGAACUCUCCUCGGCUCCGAAAGGAAUUUCAGCUAUAAACAAUGAUGGACUUGCACAAAGAUCACAGUAGGAAUCCUGACUUUGAUCACCGGGCAGCCAGUUUUUAAAAGGCACAUUUGUACUCAUCUGAGUGUUUCAAAGGAAAGCGAGGAGGCACUUACAGCCCUGUGAUCCACUGUCAUGGACUUCCUCCUUCGUCAAGGGUAAGGGAAAGUCACUGCCUUAAACAGAGGCUUCCAUGGCCAUCCUUGAACAGAAAAACCAUCUGGAAGGGUCCACCCAUGGAUCUGCUGUCACUCUAUCUCUUCUGUCUGCCACCUUUGCUACAUCCCAAGAAGACUUUCUGCAUCUUAAUUCUGAAUAUGAAAUGAAUAGGCUUUGUGUUUGUUUUCUCGUCGUUGUCUUUUGAGACUAGGUCACAUGCAACUUAAACUAGCCUUGAACUUCUAAUGUAGCCAAGGAAGAACUUGAACUUCUGAUUCCUGCUUCUACCUUCAAUGCUGGGACUGCAAGUCUAUGCGACUCCAUCUAGCUGCACUGGGUCAUUGGACUCCUGUUUAUCUAGUGAGUGUACCAGUAUCCCCUAAUUUCUCCAUCCAUGAACAACACUUGUUUAAGAUUCUUUACCACAUCCGGAGACAAGCCAUGGAACGCUUUGCAAAUGAUUUGAUGGCUUAGUUUUGGCUCCCUCAGAGCCAUGCCCCACAUGGAUGGUGCAGCUUCUCAUGGAAUCAUCUAUCGCUCACACUUCAUUUCUCACCAUCCUCAAAUUUUAGGCUCAGGGAAAAUAAUUUUUUUAGAAAGAUCCCAGUUUACAGUAUUCUUCCAUGGCUCUGUGCUUGAUCACACUGACCUUACCUCCUAACACUUACUUUGCCCACCAGCCACCCCUCGGUUGUAGAGCAUCAAAGCCAUGCUCGCACCUUUAAGCGACUUGUUUUUGCUGAGUUACACAGAUAUGCUGUGAACACCCAUUCACAAAGCAGAUGUUGGGUGAUGAACAAGGCAACACAAAUAAAGUAAUUAUCUCAAUUUCUACUGUCUGUUCCCCGGUGUAUUCCCAGCAGCUUACAGAGUCCUUAGUGCAUUGUGGGAACAAAAUUGUAUGGGGGAGAAGUAAGUAUUAGUUAUCAUAAUUAUUAUCUCAACUACACCAAUAGUUGUUAGUUUAUCUGGUCUUUGUUUUCUGUUUUGUAUCAACCCCUGAGGUUGUAAGUCUGUCUAUCACAUAGGCUGUACUAGGCAAUGUUUGAUAAGUGAGCAAUGAGUGAACGAAUGGAUAGGAUUCACCUAGGGCAGAUCUUUCUGUUCAACAAGUGUGAGCACUAAAGUCGUCAUGCAUUUAUUGUUCACUUAGCUCUCCAGUCUCAUGAUUUCCUCACUGAACGUGGAGGUAUUGGCAAAAGGUACACGUUCUCUACUGGUUUCUCCUGGAAUUGGAAUUAAAGGGAUAUUUUGAGCACCUACCUCUGUAUCUAAGUGAAAGACAUAAAGGGAGUUGUGGUUCAAAUUUGAAGAGGGCAUGCAGUCCUCGUGCUAACAGAUAAGUACUAGGAAAACCAGAAAUGGUAAACAGAGUUGUUUCUUCAACAAAAAGGAUGUAUAACCUGCCGUUUACCCAAAAUGCUGGAAUAAAUGUAGUUAACAGUCUGGUGACCUGUACUCUCUGUAGGGCUAGGCACAGCUGACUCCUCUAGACUCUUACGCUGAUCUAAGUCAUUCUCCUUAGACCUUUAUCUUGAGCAUUUUUUUCUCAGUCAGUCUAUAGAACCCACCUUUAUGGAAGUGAUCCCAUGUACCUAGUUUUGUUGUAGUCAUGCCUUAAGCUUUGUUGUGUACAUAGGAUUGAGAUAAUGUCACCAAAAAAUUCUUUUAAACAUGUCUAAAAAAAAUGCCCAGUGUGAGAUUCUUGAAGUUUGAACCAAAAGUAACUACUGAACUGGAUUACCUUCUUGCCUCACACAGAAUGUUACUCUGGCAGCCCUGUUGUUUCCAGACAACACACAAAUCCCCCUGUUCAUUAAAUAAAGAGGUUAUGCUGUCGACUACACUCUCUUUAUCUCUCUAUCCAUCUUUCUGUCUACAUAGCUAUCUUGUGUGCAUGCAUAUGUGUCUGUGACUGUAGGGGUACACAUAUUCA